CGAAGAAGAAUAGUGAUGUUGGGUUGUAAUGAUCCUGCAUUCACUUGGUGCAAUAAGCGCUUUACUUCUAUGCCUACUUAUGAGAGACUUGAUCGUUGUUUUGCAAAUGCGGAAUGGUGUAAUGAAUUUCCUAAUAUUGUUGUUUAUAACCUUCCUACUAUGUACAGUGAUCAUGCUCCUAUUCUUACUGUAUCAAAUCCUAUGACCGUCAAAUCCAAAAGAACUUUUAAAUUAGAACAUUUGGUGGUUGAUUGA
rnacentral:rRNA from 1 species